rnacentral:rRNA from 1 species
GACGAACGCUGGCGGCGUGCUUAACACAUGCAAGUCGAACGGAAAGGCCCUGCUUUUGUGGGGUGCUCGAGUGGCGAACGGGUGAGUAACACGUGAGUAACCUGCCCUUGACUUUGGGAUAACUUCAGGAAACUGGGGCUAAUACCGGAUAGGAGCUCCUGCUGCAUGGUGUGGGUUGGAAAGUUUCGGCGGUUGGGGAUGGACUCGCGGCUUAUCAGCUUGUUGGUGGGGUAGUGGCGUACCAAGGCUUUGACGGGUAGCCGGCCUGAGAGGGUGACCGGCCACAUUGGGACUGCGAUACGGCCCAGACUCCUACGGGAGGCAGCAGUGGGGAAUAUUGCACAAUGGGCGGAAGCCUGAUGCAGCAACGCCGCGUGCGGGAUGACGGCCUUCGGGUUGUAAACCGCUUUCGCCUGUGACGAAGCGUGAGUGACGGUAAUGGGUAAAGAAGCACCGGCUAACUACGUG